GAUGAACGCUAGCGAUAGGCUUAACACAUGCAAGUCGAGGGGCAGCAUGGUCUUAGCUUGCUAAGGCUGAUGGCGACCGGCGCACGGGUGCGUAACGCGUAUGCAACUUGCCUCACAGAGGGGGGUAACCCGUCGAAAGACGGACUAAUACCGCGUACACUCUAUGUUGGGCAUCCAAUGUAGAGGAAAUGAAAUUCGCUGUGAGAUAGGCAUGCGUCCCAUUAGCUAGUUGGUGAGGUAACGGCUCACCAAGGCGACGAUGGGUAGGGGAACUGAGAGGUUGAACCCCCACACUGGUACUGAGACACGGACCAGACUCCUACGGGAGGCAGCAGUGAGGAAUAUUGGUCAAUGGGCGAGAGCCUGAACCAGCCAAGUCGCGUGAAGGAUGACUGUCUUAUGGAUUGUAAACUUCUUUUAUACGGGAAUAACAAGAGUCACGUGUGGCUCCCUGCAUGUACCGUACGAAUAAGCAUCGGCUAACUCCGUG
rnacentral:rRNA from 1 species